UAUUCCUCAACAUAAACCUGAAUAAGUUAAAGAUUUUUUACAUAAGUACUGCUAAGCACAUAUAUGUAUUAACUUAAUGCUUAGUAAUUCAAAUGUGGUUAUAAACCUUCACUACCUUUUAAGUAAAACUUAAAGACUUCCACUAUUAGACUAUAAUCUAUAAAUCAAAUGUUCCAAUUUAACAACAAAUACAAACCAGGUGCUCCACAGGCGCAGCUUUAUACUACCGCAGUGGUCGAACCCUGAGCAGUUGGGGCAAAUUUGGUCACAAUAUUCAAGCUUGAUACUGUCUGAAUUUGGAUUGUGAUCAAAUUUUUGACAUAAUAUAGGUUUUUGUCACAAGAUAAAUGUAGUCAAAGAUCUGACAAAUCUAUUGCACAAUACUGAGCAAUAUAAAAUUUCUUUUUUAAACUUUUGAAAACAAGCAGUGUAAGGGAGGUAAUCAAGUAAACAAACAUAAAUAUAACUACAGUACUUUUUAAAUUUUAAUUGCAUAACCUCCCUUACACUGUGUUUAAACUGUCUAAAUUGUCCUUUAAAGAAAACCCUUGUUUUCCCUUUUGCCCCUAAUUGGUUACUGAUUUGAGCCAUACCCCCCAUAACCAUCCCUUUGUAGUAUGAAACUUGUGGUAUAAUUCAGGAGAUUUAUACACUUCAACACAAGUUAUUGACUGAAAACUACAAAAAUGCUUAUUUGGGCCCCUUUUUUGAACCCUCACUUGUUGAAACCCCCCUUCCUUCUUGGAGCAAGACCCCCAAAACUCAAUUCCAGACUUUCCUUUGUAUUAAGAAACCUUGUAGCAUAAUUUCAGAGAGAUCCAUUCACUUAAACCCAAGUUAUUGCCUGUAAUCUAGAAAAAUGCUUCUUUUUGGCCCUUUUUUGGCCCCUUAUUCCUAAAUGUUCAGGGAUAUGAACCCGAAACUAAAUCAAAGCCUUCCAUUCGUUAUAUUGAACCUUAUGGUAUAAUGUUAGAGAGUUCCAUACAGUUAUACAUAAGUUUUUGUACCGAAACUACAAAAAUGCUUGAUUUUGGCCCCUUUUUGGCCCUUAAUUCCUAGACUGUUUGCCCCAUAACCCUUAAAAUAAAUCUAAACCCUCUACUUUAUGGUAUGAACAUUGUUGUACAAUAUCAAAGCAAUUGAAAUACUUAUACACAACUUAUUGUCCUGAACUAGAUAAAUACUUGUUUUGUGCCCCUUUGGACCCCUAAUUUCUAAACCGUUGGGACCAUAACCCCCAAAAUCAAUCCCAAACUGCCUUUAAUGGUUACAAACAUUGUGUUAAAAUGUUUGCGGUUGUAUAAAAAUUUACUAGACAUCAUUCUGCACCACGCAUUUAUAUGUAUAUUAAUGUAAAACUAUGCAUAAAACAAGUGCAAAAGCACACAUACAUAUACAAAUGUAAUAUAAAAACAUAAUAUUCACAUACAUUUACCAUAAAAUACUUAUAUGCAUAAAAAUGGUUAAAAACUUUUUUCAGAAAUCAAUGCAAGGUAAGAAAAUGUGUAUGGUUGGAGGCUGAAUUUGUAGCUACAGUACAUUAAAUUGAUUAAUCCUGCAAUUCUUUAUUUUAGUAUUUAAACAUGCUAAAAGUAAAAGACUUAUUUUGAAAGACUAUUUUCUAAUGAAAAUAUUUAACAUGUUUAACCAAUAAUGUUCAUAAAUGUUUUUUUCAUCUAUUUUUGUUCUCAGUCAAAUGCAUUUAACAAUUGUUUAUCAUAUCAAAUCUUUAAUAUGAUUUGAUUUUCUGUUUUAAUAUUAUAAUUUCAAUCGCUGUAAAAAAAAUCGCAUCCAUAUUGUGACGACAACAUCUUGGAAAUUCAGCCAUUCAGUUAUGUCAAAUUCUUGCAAAUUUUAACAGAAAUUUAUUAUUUAGGCACAACAUUUCCCAAAA
rnacentral:lncRNA from 1 species